rnacentral:lncRNA from 1 species
ACAGCAAGCUAUGAACUCUCUCAAGGAGAUUGGAUUUAUUAACUACUAUGGAAUGCAAAGAUUUGGAACCACAGCUGUCCCUACGUAUCAGGUUGGAAGAGCUAUACUACAAAAUUCCUGGACAGAAGUCAUGGAUUUAAUAUUGAAACCCCGCUCUGGAGCUGAAAAGGGCUACUUGGUUAAAUGCAGAGAAGAAUGGGCAAAGACCAAAGACCCAACUGCUGCCCUCAGAAAACUACCUGUCAAAAGGUGUGUGGAAGGGCAGCUGCUUCGAGGACUUUCAAAAUAUGGAAUGAAGAAUAUAGUCUCUGCAUUUGGCAUAGU